UACGUAGGGUGCGAGCGUUAAUCGGAAUUACUGGGCGUAAAGCGUGCGCAGGCGGCUUUGCAAGACAGAUGUGAAAUCCCCGGGCUCAACCUGGGAACUACAUUUGUGACUGCAAGGCUAGAGUACGGCAGAGGGGGAUGGAAUUCCGCGUGUAGCAGUGAAAUGCGUAGAUAUGCGGAGGAACACCAAUGGCGAAGGCAAUCCCCUGGGCCUGUACUGACGCUCAUGCACGAAAGCGUGGGGAGCAAACAGG
rnacentral:rRNA from 1 species